GAUAAGACUUUUGGGAAGUUAUUUAAGGAUCCCCCACGGUUCUGCUACAGGAAGGGCAUGAGUAUUAGGGACAUGCUAUGCCCUUCAGAGUUACCUAUAGAAAAGAAACAGAUGUUCCUGGGAAUACAGAAGAAAGGUACCUUUCCGUGCUUGAAUUGUGUCUGUUGCGCCUCGAUAAUAAAAGGGUCAAGCAUUAAUCAUCCCACUAAAGGCAAUAAACUAAAUUUGAAUGACUAUGCCACAUGUGAAUCGAAAGGGGUCAUAUACAUGUUGAAGUGCCCAUGUGGCCUAGUCUAUGUGGGGCAAACAAUUAGAAAUGUAAAAACCAGGAUUAAAGAGCAUAAAGGGGACAUAAGGAAUUAUAAACCAGGAUCUCAGACAGAUACGACUGUAGCCCGACAUUUUAAUGAGGCAAAACAUAGCCACGGGCAAUUGAAAUGGGUGGUCCUCGAAGUAGUACAACCAUUAAGUCGAGGUGGUAACUUUAAGCAAAAGAUGCUACAACGUGAAGCCAAAUGGAUUUCUAAAUUGAAUUCACUAGCCCCAGUUGGGCUUAAUGAUGCCUGGAGUUUGAAAUGCUUUUUAUAAGAAUUGUAAUAUUUACUCUUAUUUAUUUCAGAUAUUAAGUGAUGCCUAUCCUCUCAGCUGGGGGUAAGAGUGUAUCUGAAGAUAUGGAACCUUGGCACUUGGACACUACAUGUACACUGGAGAUCACUGGGACUUUUAAACGUUUUAUACGUUCUAUGUUUUCUACCUAUUUUACACUUUUACUCUGGACUAAUGAGUUAAUUGGUGGGAGGAGGAGCACUGUUUGGCAAUUAAGGCUAUAAGAUGUGGUUUGAUCAUGUGAUUGUUACACUUGAGAAAGGGUCCAUGUGACUCGAAACAUGUCGUGUGUACAAUAAAGCACUAACGCAGCAGA